AAGAGUUUGAUCAUGGCUCAGAUUGAACGCUGGCGGCAGGCCUAACACAUGCAAGUCGAACGGUAACAGGAAGCAGCUUGCUGCUUUGCUGACGAGUGGCGGACGGGUGAGUAAUGUCUGGGAAACUGCCUGAUGGAGGGGGAUAACUACUGGAAACGGUAGCUAAUACCGCAUAACGUCGCAAGACCAAAGAGGGGGACCUUCGGGCCUCUUGCCAUCGGAUGUGCCCAGAUGGGAUUAGCUAGUAGGUGGGGUAACGGCUCACCUAGGCGACGAUCCCUAGCUGGUCUGAGAGGAUGACCAGCCACACUGGAACUGAGACACGGUCCAGACUCCUACGGGAGGCAGCAGUGGGGAAUAUUGCACAAUGGGCGCAAGCCUGAUGCAGCCAUGCCGCGUGUAUGAAGAAGGCCUUCGGGUUGUAAAGUACUUUCAGCGGGGAGGAAGGGAGUAAAGUUAAUACCUUUGCUCAUUGACGUUACCCGCAGAAGAAGCACCGGCUAACUCCGUGCCAGCAGCCGCGGUAAUA
rnacentral:rRNA from 1 species